rnacentral:rRNA from 1 species
GUGCCAGCAGCCGCGGUAAUACAGAGGUCUCAACCGUUGUUCGGAUUCAUUGGGCGUAAAGGGUGCGUAGGCGGCGGAGUAAGUCAGGUGUGAAAUCUCGGGGCUCAACCCCGAAACUGCACUUGAUACUGCUUCGCUCGAGUACUGGAGAGGAGACUGGAAUUUACGGUGUAGCAGUGAAAUGCGUAGAUAUCGUAAGGAAGACCAGUGGCGAAGGCGAGUCUCUGGACAGUUACUGACGCUGAGGCACGAAGGCCAGGGGAGCAAACGGGAUUAGAUACCCGCGUAGUCC